CCUACGGGGUGCAGCAGUCGAGAAUCUUUCACAAUGGGCGAAACCCUGAUGGUGCGACGCCGCGUGGGGGAAUGAAGUUCUUCGGAUUGUAAACCCCUGUCAUGUGGGAGCAAAUUAAAAAGAUAGUACCACAAGAGGAAGAGCCUGCUAACUCUGUGCCAGCAGCCGCGGUAAUACAGAGGUCUCAAGCGUUGUUCGGAAUCACUGGGCGUAAAGCGGGCGUAGGCUGUUUCGUAAGUCGUGUGUGAAAGGCGCGGGCUCAAACCGCGGACGGCAGAUGAUACUGCGAGACUAGAGUGAUGGAGGGGGAAGCGGAAUGCUCGGUGUAGGAGUGAAAUGCGUAGAUAUCGAGAGGAAC
rnacentral:rRNA from 1 species